AAAUUGAAGAGUUUGAUCAUGGCUCAGAUUGAACGCUGGCGGCAGGCCUAACACAUGCAAGUCGAGCGGUAGCACAGAGAGCUUGCUCUCGGGUGACGAGCGGCGGACGGGUGAGUAAUGUCUGGGAAACUGCCUGAUGGAGGGGGAUAACUACUGGAAACGGUAGCUAAUACCGCAUAACGUCGCAAGACCAAAGUGGGGGACCUUCGGGCCUCAUGCCAUCAGAUGUGCCCAGAUGGGAUUAGCUAGUAGGUGGGGUAAUGGCUCACCUAGGCGACGAUCCCUAGCUGGUCUGAGAGGAUGACCAGCCACACUGGAACUGAGACACGGUCCAGACUCCUACGGGAGGCAGCAGUGGGGAAUAUUGCACAAUGGGCGCAAGCCUGAUGCAGCCAUGCCGCGUGUGUGAAGAAGGCCUUCGGGUUGUAAAGCACUUUCAGCGGGGAGGAAGGCGCCAAGGUUAAUAACCUUGGCGAUUGACGUUACCCGCAGAAGAAGCACCGGCUAACUCCGUGCCAGCAGCCGCGGUAAUACGGAGGGUGCAAGCGUUAAUCGGAAUUACUGGGCGUAAAGCGCACGCAGGCGGUCUGUCAAGUCGGAUGUGAAAUCCCCGGGCUCAACCUGGGAACUGCAUUCGAAACUGGCAGGCUAGAGUCUUGUAGAGGGGGGUAGAAUUCCAGGUGUAGCGGUGAAAUGCGUAGAGAUCUGGAGGAAUACCGGUGGCGAAGGCGGCCCCCUGGACAAAGACUGACGCUCAGGUGCGAAAGCGUGGGGAGCAAACAGGAUUAGAUACCCUGGUAGUCCACGCCGUAAACGAUGUCGAUUUGGAGGUUGUGCCCUUGAGGCGUGGCUUCCGGAGCUAACGCGUUAAAUCGACCGCCUGGGGAGUACGGCCGCAAGGUUAAAACUCAAAUGAAUUGACGGGGGCCCGCACAAGCGGUGGAGCAUGUGGUUUAAUUCGAUGCAACGCGAAGAACCUUACCUGGUCUUGACAUCCACAGAACUUUCCAGAGAUGGAUUGGUGCCUUCGGGAACUGUGAGACAGGUGCUGCAUGGCUGUCGUCAGCUCGUGUUGUGAAAUGUUGGGUUAAGUCCCGCAACGAGCGCAACCCUUAUCCUUUGUUGCCAGCGGUUAGGCCGGGAACUCAAAGGAGACUGCCAGUGAUAAACUGGAGGAAGGUGGGGAUGACGUCAAGUCAUCAUGGCCCUUACGACCAGGGCUACACACGUGCUACAAUGGCAUAUACAAAGAGAAGCGACCUCGCGAGAGCAAGCGGACCUCAUAAAGUAUGUCGUAGUCCGGAUUGGAGUCUGCAACUCGACUCCAUGAAGUCGGAAUCGCUAGUAAUCGUAGAUCAGAAUGCUACGGUGAAUACGUUCCCGGGCCUUGUACACACCGCCCGUCACACCAUGGGAGUGGGUUGCAAAAGAAGUAGGUAGCUUAACCUUCGGGAGGGCGCUUACCACUUUGUGAUUCAUGACUGGGGUGAAGUCGUAACAAGGUAACCGUAGGGGAACCUGCGGUUGGAUCACCUCCUUACCUUAAAGAA
rnacentral:rRNA from 1 species